rnacentral:rRNA from 1 species
GAUCUGGCUCAGGACGAACGCUGGCGGCGUGCCUAACACAUGCAAGUCGAACGGAGAUUAUUAAUGAAGCUUGCGAUUUAAUAAUCUUAGUGGCGGACGGGUGAGUAACGCGUGGGUAAUCUACCUAUUAGUGGGGAAUAACAGUUGGAAACGACUGCUAAUACCGCAUAAGCUGCGCAAGCAGGAAAGACGGCCUCUGAAAAUGCUGUCGCUAAUAGAUGAGCCCGCGUCUGAUUAGCUAGUUGGUGGGGUAAAGGCCUACCAAGGCGACGAUCAGUAGCCGGCCUGAGAGGGUGAACGGCCACACUGGGACUGAGACACGGCCCAGACUCCUACGGGAGGCAGCAGUGGGGAAUAUUGCGCAAUGGGGGAAACCCUGACGCAGCGACGCCGCGUGAGCGAAGAAGGCCUUAGGGUUGUAAAGCUCUGUUUUAGGGGACGAAUGUCACGGUGAGAAAUAUGCGCUGUGAAUGACGGUACCCUAAGAGGAAGCCCCGGCUAACUACGUGCCAGCCGCGGC